rnacentral:rRNA from 1 species
AACGCUAGCUACAGGCUUAACACAUGCAAGUCGAGGGGAAACGACAUCGAAAGCUUGCUUUUGAUGGGCGUCGACCGGCGCACGGGUGAGUAACGCGUAUCCAACCUGCCCACCACUUGGGGAUAACCUUGCGAAAGUAAGACUAAUACCCAAUAAUAUCUCUAGAAGACAUCUGAAAGAGAUUAAAGAUUUAUCGGUGAUGGAUGGGGAUGCGUCUGAUUAGCUUGUUGGCGGGGUAACGGCCCACCAAGGCGACGAUCAGUAGGGGUUCUGAGAGGAAGGUCCCCCACAUUGGAACUGAGACACGGUCCAAACUCCUACGGGAGGCAGCAGUGAGGAAUAUUGGUCAAUGGGCGAGAGCCUGAACCAGCCAAGUAGCGUGCAGGAUGACGGCCCUAUGGGUUGUAAACUGCUUUUAUAAGGGAAUAAAGUGAGUCUCGUGAGACUUUUUGCAUGUACCUUAUGAAUAAGGACCGGCUAAUUCCGUGCCAGCAGCCGCGGUAAUACGGAAGGUCCGGGCGUUAUCCGGAUUUAUUGGGUUUAAAGGGAGCGUAGGCCGGAGAUUAAGCGUGUUGUGAAAUGUAGAUGCUCAACAUCUGCACUGCAGCGCGAACUGGUUUCCUUGAGUACGCACAAAGUGGGCGGAAUUCGUGGUGUAGCGGUGAAAUGCUUAGAUAUCACGAAGAACUCCGAUUG